GCCUAACAGCUAGCUCACCCAACAUAAACCAAAAGUUUACCCUAUAAAUAACCCCUAAGACAUUACCCCUAAACAAAAUAAACCAUUUUUCCACCCAAGUAUGGGAGACAGAAAAGGAAA
rnacentral:rRNA from 1 species